UGAGCCAAGAAACGGCCUUUGUGUACGCCUAAAACUCCCACCCGGAGGGGGUCCCACUGGCUCUGGGUUGGCUGUUCAUUUUUGGCUGCACCUGCGAGGAAGGGCAGAACGUAAACCUGAGCUCAGAGGUGUCCAACCUUGGCAACUUUUAAGACUUGUGGAUUUAAAACUCUCAGAUGGCCGAGGAGAAAAUUGGCAGCUGAAGCCCACAGGUUGCCAAGCUUGAACAAUCCUGCCUUAGCCGGCGUGGAAUCUUGUUGGUGAAAAGGACACCCCGAAGUGUAGGAUACCGGCCUGAUUUUGUUGGUUUUGAAGUGCCGGACAAGUUUGUGGUUGGAUAUGCUCUAGAUUAUAACGAAUACUUCAGAGAUUUGAAUCACAUCUGCGUGAUCAGCGAGACCGGGAAGGAGAAAUACAAGGCGUGAUCCCGGCCGGUGUCAUCCAAGCGCAGCGAGACCGUGAAGCUGACCUCUAGCAGCCCCUCUCUCUCUCUGUCUCUCUGCCUCUCGGCCCAAAACGGCAGCUUCGGAUUGUGGAGGGGUUCCCUCUGCGCUUCUCUCGUCAUAAUCUCUCUUGCUUUAUAACUUAUUGCAUGUACCGCAUGGGAAACUCGUCUUGUUCAUUUGCAUCUGGGAAGUCAGAAAAGGAAAUUUCCGCUUUCCCUUUUUUUAAAAUUUGCACUAUGCAUCUCCUCCUCCUAGCCAGUCCCUCCUUUGAGAAAAACAGAUCUCUCUCUC